UCGUGUCGUGAGAUGUUGGGUUAACGUCCCGCAACGAGCGCAACCUCGUCUUAGUUGCUAACAGUUCGGCUGAGCACUCUAGGGAGACUGCCUUCGCAAGGAGGAGGAAGGUGAGGACGACGUCAAGUCAUCAUGGCCCUUACGGCCAGGGCUACACACGUGCUACAAUGGGGCGUACAGAGAGCUGCGAUACCGCGAGGUGGAGCCAAUCUCUUAAAGCGUCUCUCAGUUCGGAUUGUUCUCUGCAACUCGAGAACAUGAAGCUGGAAUCACUAGUAAUCGCAGAUCAGCUAUGCUGCGGUGAAUACGUUCCCGGGUCUU
rnacentral:rRNA from 1 species